rnacentral:rRNA from 1 species
AUCGAACGCUGGCGGCAGGCCUAACACAUGCAAGUCGAACGAGUGGCGGACGGGUGAGUAAUGUCUGGGCAACUGCCUGAUGGAGGGGGAUAACUACUGGAAACGGUAGCUAAUACCCCAUACCAUCAGAUGUGCCCAUAUGUGACUAGCUUGUUGGUGGGGGAACGGCUCACCAAGGCGACGAUCCCUAGCUGGUCUGAGAGGAUGACCAGCCACACUGGAACGGAGAAAGGGUCCAGAUUCCUACGGGAGGCAGAAGUGGGGAAUAUUGCAAAAUGGGCGCAAGCCUGAUGCAGACAUGCCGCGUGUAUGAAGAAGGCCUUCGGGUUGUAAAGUACUUUCAGCGGGGAGACGUUACCCGCAGAAGAAGCACCGGCUAACUCCGUGCCAGCCGCCGCGGUAAUAC